rnacentral:rRNA from 1 species
UACGUAGGGUGCGAGCGUUAAUCGGAAUUACUGGGCGUAAAGCGUGCGCAGGCGGCUUCUCAAGUCAGGGGUGAAAGCCCGGGGCUCAACUCCGGAACUGCCUUUAAGACUGCAUCGCUUGAAUCCGGGAGAGGUGAGUGGAAUUCCGAGUGUAGAGGUGAAAUUCGUAGAUAUUCGGAAGAACACCAGUGGCGAAGGCGGCUCACUGGACCGGUAUUGACGCUGAGGUGCGAAAGCGUGGGGAGCAAACAGG